rnacentral:lncRNA from 1 species
CUUGCCCAGAAUCAGGAUGAGAUGAGAGAGAUAAUAUUCCCUGAUAAAUCUGUUACCAGUGAAAUUUCUAUCAUUUCAGAUGUUGGAGAAAAAUGUUUAGUUGGCCAGAAAGUCAAGAUUUUUCUCCUCCAAUCAAGAACUCCAACUCCACCAACAGAGCACCCUUCACAGGAGCUAUCUGG